rnacentral:lncRNA from 1 species
CAUGGUCAUUAGAGUUGGUAUCCACAUCUGAUAAGUUUCUACUUUGUAGUUUUCUAGUUAGGAAUCAUCUCUUUCCAUUGUCCUUUACUCUGUUCCUUUUGUCUUGUUUACUUCCUCUUCCUGAGUCUGUUUGGUCAGAACAAGUGAGAAAUGACUUCAAAAUCUGCUACCAACUUUUCAAUUGCACAAAGCGGGGUCUGGCUAGCACAUCAAAGUGGUAUAAGUCAAGAAAGAGCAACAAACACACUGAGUUGGUAAUAAUUAACGCGCUUUGGGAUUCAUGUGAAAUACAAAGGUUUGGUAUAUGUCAAUUCAUGAACAAUGCAACAGAUAGAGGGUGUUGGGUGUCACACCUCCUUUUUACCUACACCCCGAGAGGGGUGUAUAAGGGAGUUUUUUCCAACUUAAAGUGACAGUCGAAAUGGAAAUUAUUUUAAUUAAAAUUUAGAGUCGCCACUUGGGAUAAUUUAUGGUGUCCCAAAUCACCGGUUUUAAUCCCGAAUCGAGAAAAGAUUGACUCUAUUUUACAGUCCGCGAACAAAGAAAUCUGUGUAAGAAAUUCUGUUAACUCGGGAGAAGGUGUUAGGCAUUUCCGAGUCCCGUGGUUUUAGCACGGUCGCUCAACUGUUAUUAUUGGCUCAUUAUUUGAUUUUAAUACAUGUUUUAAUCUAUGGUUCAAUUUUAACUUUAUAACCGCUUUUAUUUAUUUUAAAGGAAGAGCAACGUCAUUUAAAAUAUGUCUUGAACCACGUCACAUAAAUGCACCCGCGGUCCAAAACGCAUUUCAUUUAACGUUAUUGAGAUUUGGAUUUGGGUCACAUAAAUGCACAUCUGAGUUUAGGAAGGUAAUAUUAUUAAAAUAACGCGCUAAAGCAACUACGCGUUUGCAACUUUGCGAGGGCCAUGGAAACUCAACUAAAUGGCGCGCCUCGAUUCCAAUUUCAAAGGAUUGUACUCAACUAAAGCAAACUACGAAAAUUCAAGGCAUUUUACUACAUUAGCUCUUCAUGUUCACGAGUUAUUAAUUCUUAAAAUAAUUAGGAUAAGAAACAUGUAUUAACCCAAACAUUCAGCUCAAAAAGCAUCGAACUCGAAGCCAUCGGGUAAACCAUACUUACUAAUGAACCAGAGAUCAUAAAGUUUCUAUUUAUCCACUAUGCGUACAUGGAAUUAAAACUAUAUAUAUAAACUAGCAAGCAAUAACAGUAAGAAAAAUCCACAACUCAAAGAACAUAGUCCCAAAAAAUGCAAGUCAUCACAAACAAAUUGCUUGUGGCCAAUAAUAACUAGACAAUGAUGCGCCUAUGAACCAUCCCAAACUUCUAAAGAAUUGAUUUGUAUCCAUAACUCAAAACAACCAAACAUCAGUCAAAAUAAUGUUAAGUUAAAAUUAACUUUAGAAGUUAAUCCUCCGAACAACCCACAUUCAUUUAACAGAGAAUAAUCACUAUUAAACCAAAUUAUCUACUCAAAUCAGUCUCAUAAAUCCGUUAAGAUACCAAAAUAAAGAACACUCAAAAUAACAAUCGUUCAAGCUCAAAGUUAUUCCUCCAAAAAUAAGUCCUAAGAUUCAUGAAUUAAAUAAAAACCCAAUGAAACAAGGAAACAUACCUCAAUGAUUUUACUAAAUCGAGAUUCGGAUCUGAUUUUUGCAAUCAACAGAAAGUCGACAACCGAAACUGCACUCAGACUUCAGAGCUCGCCGGAACCGCGACAAACUUCCACGACGGGCCUCGUCGGCACCUCAGAUUUGCUUGGUUUCCUUUGGAGAUGCGACUGUGCAUGUGUAGUGUGGUAAGCGUGAGGCUGAUGGGAGAUGGGGUGGGAUGGGUUCGAAGAAGACGGUCUGACGGGGUGGGGUGUGUGCUGUCUCUAUAGUGCAGCAGCUUUUUUCAGUCCUUCUUUUCUUUGUUUUUUUUGUUCCCCCUUUUUCUGAUUUUGACGUUAGUCUUUGUUCAAGAAGUUGAAAAAGGAAUUCAAGAUUUUUGGGGUGCAAGAUUUAGAAUAAUAGUUGAAAGGUCUGUCCAAGAAGAUGAGUUGAAGCUCUUGUCUAUUAUCUCCAGCGGCUGAUGUUUUUUCUUUAGGCGUUCCUCCUCUUUCUUUUAGUCCUUACUUCCCCUAUGUAUAGGUCUAGGUCUAAUGUGUAUUUUUUUUUUGUAUUUUGCCAAUUAGUCCCUAGGUCUUUUUGUAUUUAGUCCUUAGGGUCUUUUUAUUUAUUUUUUGUUCCAAAGAAGAGUCUAGAAGGGUCCCUAGGAUUAGCUUAAUGGGAUUGGAUAUUGAGCUUAAGGAAUGGGCUAGAAACUUGGGCCUUUAUGACUUGCUAUGUUUAAAAUUAGUUUAAUUAACUAAAAGUAUUAUAAAAAAUAUUAAUUAGCUCUACUU